AACCAUGAGGGAGGAGGGCGGGGGACUGCGAGCAUCUCGUUUCUCCCAAUAGAGGAGAGAAGAUGGACACCUCCACGGGAAUAUGGGUGCAGGGACAGCGGGGUAGCCCGACACACACAUGCUGCUGAAUGGAUGCCACCGCCGCAACGUCACGACGAGCGCAGGAGCCAAAACGAGCUCGUCUCACCAGGUCUGCUGCCCAUGAUCAAGGAAUCAGCUCUCAGUGAUUCACAGGAUCUCAUGACAUAGGUCUGAAUCUGAGCCUGCCGUUUCUCCCUGGUGCUGGAAAAGCUGGGUGGCCGGAGGGGUUGGCUGUUAUCUUUGGUUAUCUAGCUGUAUGAGUGAUAUACACUCUUCAUAAAGCUAGAUAACCGAAAGUAACAAGAAUCCCAUUACACACCUGGAAGGCCUUGCCCGCUCAACACUUCACCUUCUGCCCCUUACUGUCACAUCUUCUUUAGAGCCAAGACGUGAAAGAUAAAUGAUGCCCAGUCUCCACUGCCAGCAAAAAGGAAGCAAAAUAUGGACGAUUUUAAGGAGGAGGGGCAGGUUAGCGUCGAGACUCUCUGUGCCCUACAGUGCGUUGCUGCUCUCAGCCCCUCCUCUUGCUGCCUGCCUGCCCCUUCCUCCAGUGACGAGCGCCAGUCCACACUUUACCACCAUCUUAGAGCACACUGGCAUGAAAUGGAAGAAGAGGGAAAACGAGUGUUGAAAGAAAAAGAGGAUUCAUCGCAACGACAUCUGAAAAUGGAGGCAGAGCAGUGAAGACCUUUGCUCUGAAACAGAUGACUGCACGGUUUAUUGUGCGCCCCAACACUGCAACUCUGUAGCACUUUAAAAAUCCUCGCUUUUUUUCCUUGUUUGUUUUCCUAUUAAUUUGUUGUUUAGUUUUUUGUUUACUUUCCCCAUCAUUUUAGUAGUUUUAAUGACCUAUUGUAAUCACCAGUCUAUUUUAUUUCAAUCUAUAGGGGGCAAGAGUUUGGUAGUGCAGACAGGUGAAGCAGUGCAAAAAGAUUAUUUAAUGGUGCUAAAAAGUCUUAAAAUCACUAAUAUUAUCCUGGCUGUGACCCAGUAAUAACCCACUGGAAAUCUGCGGUGGAUAAAAAACUACAUAUAUUUUGUAUAUUUGCACGAUGUCCAUAAAUGUAUGUCUAUGCAAAAUUCUAUUCAAGUCCUGUUUAAAAGCAUGGCAUGUAAUUGUGUUAGAAUACCAUACAAAUACAAGCCACUUAAUUUCUCUAUUUUUUAAAAGAAAUAUUUACUAUAAAACUCAAGACAAUCAUCUGGUCUAAUCUGCCUAUAUCUAUAUAAAUUUUCACAGCACACGUUUAGCAUAGAGCACUUUACACAUUUAAAUAACUCCCAUCUCCUCCAAUUUCUCCUCUAAUAUUUGACCAUAGCAACAAAGCUCAUGCACAUCUGCUCUAAUCGAAAUGACAUUUUAAGCUAACUGUUACGCUCAAAAGUGGCUUGCUAAAUCUAAAUUCUGCUGUUAUAAUCAUGAACAGGGUUAUUGAAUGUGGGACCCACGGCAGCGGUGAAGGAUACUGCACUGCGAUUGAACGGCUCUGUGUUGACAUUUACACGUCCGCUGUAGGGAGAGCUGUUGUCUUUAUUCACUAUGCAAUUGCGUUGGAUUUGCAAUCACAGAUGAUCUGUUCUGAUCAGCUAGAAUCUUCUGUAUUCAAAUUUUAGAGAAAAUAGGGGCCUAGAAAUACGUUCUGCACAUUCUACACAUUGUCUUUAGUGGCUUAGAAUUCAGUUUGCAUUGUCUAGACCCUACUGUUUGUUUUGUUAAAUUUCAUUUAGUCUAUUCAGGCAAGUUUAUUUUGUAUUUGUUUAUUGUAAUGUUGCAUUUGUUUAUUUUUAAAAAGGAAAUUUUCCCCUUAUCCUCCCAAUCUAGUCAUUCCCAAUUUUCUACUGCAUAUUGUGAUCAUCUUGCACCAGGAUGGCCACAACUUCCACAAUUGUAGCCAGCCACUUCUUAUUUAUAGGCCAGGGAUGUGACCUCACACGGUGUGCACAUAGUCAUCUAUCCUAGCCUCUAAGUGAUUCUCCCUGCCGCUUAGCCGGUUGCUGGUUGCCUCAGCCAGUCAUGAAGAUAGCAUAUCACAGCAGACACAGAGAAGAAACCUUGUCCCCGUCCGACUAGGCCAGGGCUAGGUCGGUGGCAUUGCGGAGAUUUAAACCUUAGUGCACUGCAGCACCCUAGGACCCAGUGCUAUGAGAAUUUAAGGCACUUAGUUGUAAGAAUAUUAACGUCUAUAGUUCAUUGUGUUAAAGCUUGUAUUAUUAAUAAGCAUGUCUGAAUACUAUACUGUUAUGUAUUUUUGUUGAACAGUUUAUGUUCAUGACUUAAGUAUUGUUUAGAACAGGGAUCUUGAUGUCAGUCCUGCAGGCUCAUCCAGUUCAUGGAAAGCUUGAUGAUAAGUUCACAAUAAAGAUGAGGUGUAUUGGAAAAAGUAAACAUCAAUAAAAUGCAGAACAGUAAAAGCAUCCAGGACUGAAGUUAUGGGAACUCGGUUCACUUUAUUAUAUGUAUAUAUUUAGAUUUGCGCCGAGGCAAUUGUACUUCUGUGAUAUCUAUGCAAAUGCAUUAUAGUCUAUAUUUGUAGUGAAAAUGGUGCAAUGUUUUUAAGACACACUUGUGUUAUUAUGGGCUCUGGUGUCAUUAAAUCUUUUGAAGGCAAUCAUCAUUGUUGUUAUAGAAAUAUAUAGUAGCUUGUGUAAAAAUAUUUACUAUGCAAUUUAAAUGUUAAGCUCUUUUGUGUAUAGCUUGUGUUUCUAUUCAUUUAGACUAAUUUGAUUAACUUCGUCUUACUUGUCACUAUUUGUGCCCCAAACGUUUGGUUCAUUUAUGGAUACUAAUAAAGA